rnacentral:lncRNA from 1 species
CACAUCCAGAUCCUAUGAAUAUCUCAUAAUAAUAUUUUUUCUGUGCAGGCUUUAUAAUCUAUCAUAUUUAGUUUUAGAUAUUUUAUUUUUAAGUGGAUUCUCCCUUAAAAUUACUUGUCCUAUUUGCUCGUUGUGCUACAGAAAUGUUUACUGAAUACCCGUAAGAUUAUAUAGAGAUGCAAGUGAUUUUUCCAUAAAUCAAUAAGUUUAUUGUAAACUUAUUUUUCCCUAAUAAGUUGUCUUUAGGAUGUUUACACAGGUUGUCCUACUGUUUGUGAAAUAAUGAAGCCCUCUGCCUUCCUUUCCAGCUUUUCAAGUAAAUCUAUUUUAAUUUUAAUUUGCCUUGCUACGUAUUUCCUAUACAUGAUAAUGCCAUCGCUCGCGGGGAGCUGGUGCAUGCACAGCGCGUCUUAAUUCGCCUCAUGUCAUCUCUCCACCCCUCCCGCCCUUCCUCCAUCUCUUGAUCCCCUUCGUAUUUCCGAAGGACCGACUUCUGCCUCUAUUUCUCUGCUGGGUCAGGACGGGGAGAGGGGAGCUAGCGGCCGCGCAUGCGCAGUCCCGGGAUGCUGCCUCUGGCGCCCGCCUGCCCGUCCCUGUCCCACGCAGUUUGGCGCCCUCUGCCGGUGACUGGGCCCUCGUGCGUGCUGCGGACCCCAUGGCGCAACGUCCAGGAGAUUCCUGGGAGACCAGAUGGGAAAACUGAGGUGCGGAGAGACCCCCAAAGCUGGGAAGUGGCAAGACGGAUUCACCCGAGCCAAGAGGAUGGGUCUGUGUGGGGUGUGGUGGCCAGGCAGGUGACUGCCACACCCUGAUGGGCUGAAGCAGGAGGGACCCAAUUUCAAGUCCAGCCUGGGCAACUUAGACCCUGUCUCAAGGUCUAAAAGAAACAAAAUAAAGAAGAACUGGGGAGUGUAGCUCAGUGUGCCCAUGUCGGCGUCUUCAUCCUCCUAGAGCAAAUGGGGAAUUGAGCCUGAGGUCACCACUGCAUGUUAGGUAGACAGUUCAGUCGGUAAUGCAAAUGAGCCCGACUCAGUUUGAUUAUUUUAAUUGUCCCAGUCUGCAUUGGUUCUGAUAAGCAUCUAGCAGCUGCUCAGAUCCUCCAUCACCCCAGCUGCGUCCGUGGUGAGCUCUGGUACACUGCGUAGGUCUGUCUUCACACUCGAACACGGGAGGGCUCUGUUCCUCGGGUCCUGUGCGAAUUCCCCUGUCUUCAGCAGUGGGAACUUUCCUCCCUUCUGCUCUGAGUCUCGUGUGACCACCAGGGUAGUUGUGGGCACUGCUACCAAGCUGUGUCUCCACCCAAAGUGACACGUAGGAGUUCUAACCCUCCAAUGUCUCAAUCUGCAACUGUGCUUAGAUAUAAUAAGGCCUUUUAGUGUUUUGAGAUAGAGUCUUACCAUGUAGCCCA